UUCGUAGGCGGUGCGGCAAGUCAGAAGUGAAAUCUCUGGGCUUAACCCAGAGGCUGCUUCUGAAACUGCUGUGCUUGAGUGUGGGAGAGGCGCGUGGAAUUGCAGGUGUAGCGGUGAAACGCGUAGAUAUCUGCAGGAACACCCGUGGCGAAAGCGGCGCGCUGGACCACAACUGACGCUGAGGAACGAAAGCUAGGGGAGCAAACAGGAUUAGAUACCCUGGUAGUCCUAGCCCUAAACGAUCAGGACUUGGGGUGCCGCCCGUUCGGGCGUCGUCCCGGAGCUAACGCGUUAAGUCCUGCACCUGGGGAGUACGGUCGCAAGACUGAA
rnacentral:rRNA from 1 species